CUCCCGAGUAGCUGGGACUGCAGGCGCCCGCCACCAUGCCUGGCUAAUUUUUUGUAUGUUUAGUAGAGACGGGGUUUCACCGUGUUAGCCAGGAUGGUCUCUAUCUCCUGACCUUGUGAUCUGCCUGCCUCGGCCUCCCGAAGUGCCGGGAUUACAAGCGUGAGCCACCAUUCCCGGCCCAAAGAGGAGAAGAAGUAUGAAGUGCUUGCUUGGACCUUUCUACUGUGCUUAUUAUUCUGUCUUCUCCUCAUGGCAAAUGCUUCCUGUCCUUGAACAUCAGACUUCAAGUUCUUCAGUUUUGGGACUUGGACUGGCCCCUUGCUCCUCAGCUUCCCAAUGGCCUACUGUGGGACCUUGUGAUCAUAAGCUGACAAACGGUUUAUAUCAGAAGGUGGAAUCGUGGGUAUGGUCGAUGUGGCAGGUCCUAAACAUAAAUUGGGUCUACAAUUCCUUUAAAGGGGGCGCCAAAUGGGUAGGAGGGCAUAACUGAAUGAAUUUCGUACUCCAAGCCUAGUCUUUCGACUAACUUGCCACCAGAUUUUUGUCUGUCAGGUUCCCUGCUGUAUACCUAACACAAUGAAUUAGACAAGAAUUAUCCGACUACUACUCAAAUUCCUGGAACAUAGUGACUACUCUAAAAAUUUAUUUUAAAAUGUAAAAUGUGUAUGU
rnacentral:lncRNA from 1 species